rnacentral:lncRNA from 1 species
UCCGCAGGUGCCGUGCUGCCCCUCGGGCCACAACUGAGAGGUUCCGAUCCGCAACCACCGGCGGCGCGGGCGGCAGUCACCGAUCGCACGCGAAGGUCGCGGUGGAUAAAAGGAGAAGGUUCGAGCAACGCCUCGAUCCCGGAGCGCGCCGGAUCUCCCCGUCCGAGAAUACAGACACGUGGCCUUGUUGCGGAUUGGAUUAAUUUUGGAUGUCGUUGAGGAACGCUGCGAGGGCGGUGGCGAGGGCCACCGCCAGGCCGUGGGGGCGAGCGGCGGUCCCUAGCAAUGCCGACACCGCAGUCGCACCGCUUCGCGCAUCCGGUCGAAGGCAGAUAAGCGAUUUUCCAGGUGCGCAGCCGAACCCAAUUUCCCGUCGACGCUGGCCUUCCGACAGUGUCGACUCGAAGAAUUCGUUGCCCUAACCGCUCCCACCCGCAACCCGCAUACUCGUGC